AUGAUAGCUUUGGCUAUGGAUGACUUGUCUUCUCCUCUGACUUUAGCAUGUAAUCCCUAAUGAAAACAUUUCCCUGUAAAUGUCUCCCAACCAGGAGAGUUGAUAUGAGGAUCAGGCAGGAUGUGAAAGUACUGUGAAAAGGGCCAAAGCUGAAGACAGAUGCAAGAUGUUGUUUUUAAUGAUUUCUUGAUUAUAACUUCUCUUUCAGGUUUUGGGUAUAUGGAUCCAAGUGGGUUAUUUCAUUUUUGUUUUCUAGGACUUGAUUUUCCCACCAAGGCUACCAAAACUCUCAGUGGAAAGGAUUAUGGAAGAUCUUUGGGGGUAAUCGCCACCUUGCCUUUGGGUGUUGUUAGAGGACAGGGAUGAGAGGAGCCUGUGAAGCACUCCAAUCAGGGAUCAGGGAUGGAGUCUGGAAAUUUAGAGCUUGUGUUCCCUCUUGACCAAACCCAGUGGAAGGCAGACAGCAAAGGAGUUUGAGGAUUCCACCAAUGCAGGUUGAUCUCCCAGGCACAGUGUAGAGUGGAGAUGGGUGGAAAGCCAGUCUGGAGAGACAAAGAGAAGAUACUCUGCUCAGCCAUUCUUAGAGGCCCUCAGCUAUUCAAGUGUAGCCAGGGAGAGUCCCUGAAUGAAUUGACUCUUCAAGGCUGUUCUCCACUUGCAUUCCCAGCCCACAAAGACCAGAGACUGGCUAAGACUAGAGCCCAACACAGAAUGGCCCAGGCACGGCGGGCAUUGGGGAGACAUCUCACAGAGGCAUUUUCCAUACCGAACUUAGCCUCCUAUACACUGUUCCAACAGGGCCAUUUCAUCACAUUCUGCCUCACUCCCCAGGUGUGUUUCCAAUCUCCUGUAAUUUUAUUAAAACAUGUGAGUCUGGAUUUUCUAUAGACAGGCUUCCUUCAUACAGAACACUAAUGAUGGAGACACAGAUAUAUCCCAAAU